rnacentral:pre_miRNA from 10 species
GUUCCAGACACAUCUCAUCUGAUAUACAAUAUUUUCUUAAAUUGUAUAAAGAGAAAUUAUUGUACAUCGGAUGAGCUGUGUCUGGGAU